rnacentral:rRNA from 1 species
UACGAAGGGGGCUAGCGUUGCUCGGAAUCACUGGGCGUAAAGGGUGCGUAGGCGGGUCUUUAAGUCAGGGGUGAAAUCCUGGAGCUCAACUCCAGAACUGCCUUUGAUACUGAGGAUCUUGAGUUCGGGAGAGGUGAGUGGAACUGCGAGUGUAGAGGUGAAAUUCGUAGAUAUUCGCAAGAACACCAGUGGCGAAGGCGGCUCACUGGCCCGAAACUGACGCUGAGGCACGAAAGCGUGGGGAGCAAACAGG